rnacentral:lncRNA from 10 species
CUCGGAGUCAAGAAAAUGAACGUGUUUCUGUUGUGUGUUGUUGUGGGUGCUCUCUCUUUCUUAGCAGAAGUUCUCUCUCUAACAUCCCAGCUUUCCAAAACUCUUUUUUGAAUGCUAGCACGGAGCAGAAAUUUUUCAUGUUAUCAUUAAUAAUUUAUCGACAUUAAAAAUAGUUUCAAUGGCCUGGAGCAGUGGCUCAUCCUCAAUCCCAGCACUUUGGGAGGCCCAGGCAGGAGGAUCGCUUGAGGCCAAGAGUUCAAGACCAGACUGGGAAACACAGUGAGACCCCAUCUCUACAAAAUAAAAAAUGGGCCAGGUGUGGUGGUGCACGCCUGUAACCCCAGCUCAGGAGGCAGAGGUGGAAGAAUCACUUGAAC